CACACCCGGCAGCGCCACCACACCCGGCGGCACCACCACACCCGGCGGCACCACCACACCCGGCGGCAUGACACCCGGUGGUGCCACCGGGUGUGGUGACGCCUGUAACGCCGGUGCCUACCCCUUAGGCUCACAUGCUCCAGAACGAGCCGUCGCGUCCAUGAGAGCAGCGGUGAUUUUAACAUUUAUCGGCAUUUUUCUUCAAAAACUCCUCCUUUACUGAGCGGUUAUGAUCUGUGUGAAUACGGAAGUAAAUAAAGCCGAGAGCACAUAAGAAAAAUACCAAAAAAUCAUAAGAUAAUUGUUGCAUUGUUCACAUUUGGAACAGCUAUAUAUAUCAAAAUCUUCAUAAUUGAAUAUCUCAAUAGACAGCUAUAAUAAUUUAAAAAUGUAUUUUG